rnacentral:rRNA from 1 species
UGCAGUCGAGCGGAACGAUCCUAGCUUGCUAGGAGGCGUCGAGCGGCGGACGGGUGAGUAAUGCAUAGGAAUCUGCCCGGUAGUGGGGGAUAACUUGAGGAAACUCAAGCUAAUACCGCAUACGCCCUACGGGGGAAAGCAGGGGCUCUUCGGACCUUGCGCUAUCGGAUGAGCUUAUGUCGGAUUAGCUGGUUGGUGAGGUAACGGCUCACCAAGGCGACGAUCCGUAGCUGGUCUGAGAGGAUGAUCAGCCACAUCGGGACUGAGACACGGCCCGAACUCCUACGGGAGGCAGCAGUGGGGAAUAUUGGACAAUGGGGGCAACCCUGAUCCAGCCAUGCCGCGUGUGUGAAGAAGGCCCUCGGGUUGUAAAGCACUUUCAGCGAGGAAGAAUGCUUGUCGGUUAAUACCCGGCAAGGGAGACAUCACUCGCAGAAGAAGCACCGGCUAACUCCGUGCCAGCAGCCGCGGUAAUACGGAGGGUGCGAGCGUUAAUCGGAAUUACUGGGCGUAAAGCGUGCGUAGGCGGCUUGAUAAGCCGGUUGUGAAAGCCCCGGGCUCAACCUGGGAACGGCAUCCGGAACUGUUAGGCUAGAGUGCAGGAGAGGAAGGUAGAAUUCCCGGUGUAGCGGUGAAAUGCGUAGAGAUCGGGAGGAAUACCAGUGGCGAAGGCGGCCUUCUGGACUGACACUGACGCUGAGGUACGAAAGCGUGGGUAGCAAACAGGAUUAGAUACCCUGGUAGUCCACGCCGUAAACGAUGUCGACUAGCCGUUGGGGUCCUCGAGACCUUUGUGGCGCAGUUAACGCACUAAGUCGACCGCCUGGGGAGUACGGCCGCAAGGUUAAAACUCAAUGAAUUGACGGGGCCCGCACAGCGGUGGAGCAUGUGGUUUAAUUCGAUGCACGCGAGACCUUACCUACCCUUGACA